AGUGAACGCUGGCGGUAGGCCUAACACAUGCAAGUCGAACGGCAGCACAGUAAGAGCUUGCUCUUACGGGUGGCGAGUGGCGGACGGGUGAGGAAUACAUCGGAAUCUACUUUUUCGUGGGGGAUAACGUAGGGAAACUUACGCUAAUACCGCAUACGACCUACGGGUGAAAGCAGGGGAUCUUCGGACCUUGCGCGAUUGAAUGAGCCGAUGUCGGAUUAGCUAGUUGGCGGGGUAAAGGCCCACCAAGGCGACGAUCCGUAGCUGGUCUGAAAGGAUGAUCAGCCACACUGGAACUGAGACACGGUCCAGACUCCUACGGGAGGCAGCAGUGGGGAAUAUUGGACAAUGGGCGCAAGCCUGAUCCAGCCAUACCGCGUGGGUGAAGAAGGCCUUCGGGUUAUAAAGCCCUUUUGUUGGGAAAGAAAAGCAGCAGGUUAAUACCCCGCUGUUCUGACGGUACCCAAAGAAUAAGCACCGGCUAACUUCGUG
rnacentral:rRNA from 1 species